AACUGGACCUCUCCUGGGACAGCAUGUGCUCUGCAUGGAAUAACAAGGUUAAAUGGACAAGGCUGAAUGGCCCUGUGAUGGGGAGUGCCUUUAAGCCACAUGACGGAAAUGAAACAGGAGCCAUAAUGACCAUGACUGGAGGAGAAUCAGAUUCUGGCCUGGCCUGGUUCUGUGAGAUACCUUAAAUCAUACUUUCUGUAGCAUCCCUUAAAGUUUAGAGAAAAGCUGAAUCACUCAGCCCAGAGGAAGCCUGAGGAGGCAUAAAGAAGUCUUGGAAAUCCCCUGAAAAAAAGAAUCAGCUGUAGGCUAACCCAAGAAGAAUAAAGCAUCGGCUUCCCUGACAUGCUGCUCCCCCCAAAACAGAGUGCCAAUAUGAUUCCAAGGUUCUUAGCACACUGUAUAUUACCUCACUCCUCCUACAGUGGUCUGGAACUGAACUUGCAAUUUCUCCAAGAUAUGUCGGUAUCUCUCUCCAUGCUGUGCUGCGUGGGCUUUGGGAGCGGUGAUGUGGACCAUUUGAAAUUGUCCUUGCUACCUCUUUAAUGCAUAUUUUUAUAUUUCUAUGCUCCACCCAAGUGCUGUAGUCUCUCAACUGCCUUCUUUUUGUUCUUCAGCUUUUAUGAAGCUAUUUUCAAGUGUGAGUAGUUGUCCAAAUUCAUGUUUCUUGAGGGAACAAGUGACUUGUUUGUAAGUUGACUUGUAUAUCUUUUUAUAGCUGAGAUUUUAUCCUGUGAUCUUACUAACUCAGGAAUUUUUUGGAGAUUCUUUGCAGUUUUCUAAGUAGAAUAACCAUAUUAUAUUUAUUAUUAUUUUCCUUCUUACUUUGGUUUUAAUUUGCUCUUUUUUUACAUGUUUUCUGAGUUAGAAACUUAGGUUAUUGAUUUGAUACCCUUAUUCCUUUAUAACAUAUGCAUUUGAUUGUGUAAGUUUUUCUCUAAGCACUGCUUUAGUGCAUCCCACAAAUUUUGAUCUGUUGUAUAUUUUUUAUUUACUUUAAUAUAUCUUCUAAUUUUCUUUUGACUUUAUCUUUGACCAAUGAAAUAUUCAGAAAUGUGUAAUUUCUAAAUAUUUGGGAGAUUUUCUAAAUAUUUCUCUGUUACUGCUUUCUAGUUCAACUCCACUAUGGUUAGAGAACACACUUUGAAUGUUUUAAAUCUGUUAAGAUUUGUUUUAUGACUUAAGACACAGUUGGUAUUUGUGAAUGUUUCAUGUGCACUUGAAAACAAUGUUUAUUCUGCUUUCAUUGGGUCAGGUGGUCUAAAAAUGGCAUUUAAGUUAAUUUGGUUGAUAGUGAUUUUCAGGUAUUAUAUAUCCUUCCUGAUUCCUGCCUAGUUGUUCUAAUGAUUACUGACAGAAGACUGUUGAAAUCUCCAAUUACACUAUUAUUUUUGUAUUUCUACCUUUACCUCUAUAAUUUUUGCUUUAGUAUUGUCACAAUAUUUUGUUGGGUGCAUACCAAUUUAGUAUAGCUAUGUAUUUUUGGUAGAUUGGCACUUUUAACCAUUAUACAAUGUCCCUCUUGGUCCUUGGUAACUUUCCUUCAUUGGAAUUCUACUUUUUUUGAUAUUAAUAUGACAAUUCUAGCAUUCUUUUGGUUAGUAUUUGCAUGGUAUGUCCUUUUCUAUUAUUUAGCUUUUAGCCAAGCUGAGUGUUUUUAUUUAAAAUGGGUUUCCUGCGACUAAAAAUCAUUCUAAUCUUAUUAGAUUAUCUAAUAACCUAAUUAUCUCUCUAUUGGCUGAACUUAGUCAUGGGAUAGAACCUACUUUCAGGGAAGGUUGCAUAAUACAGUCCUUUAUCUGGCCAUAUUGCCUGCACACUUAAAUGUAACCAUGCACCUGUAUAUACACACAUUCACAUAUAUCUGUGUUUUGUUUCUAAAGAAAAGGUGAGAGUGGGUGUUUGUAUAAGCAUCUAGCUAUUUCUGCUUUCAUAUGCUUUUGGUAUUUGUAAACUGUCUUUACCUGUAAAAUAAGGACAUUUCUAACCAUUAUUUCACUUCUAGAAUAAUUAAUUUAUCUGAUCAUUUUAUAUAACAUUUUAAGUGUCUUGUUAAUUUUUUUGUUGAAGUUAUUCAAUAUGUAUUGAAUAUAAAAACACAUCAUUCCUAGUAAAUUAUAGGGAGAUAAUUUUGUCUUUGUUUAAAAAAAUAAGCUUGCUUUCUCAAGGGGGGCUUAAUAUUUCAAAUUUCAUAGCAGCCAUUUAUUGUCAGCAACUUAAAGACUGUUUCUGUUUUAAGAAUACAUUUUUCUUCGAAAUAAAGUCAGAAAUUGGAGCAUCAGCCAUCUUACAUAUCUCCCCAUGCAGUAUAAAUUAAUUUCCAGACUUUCGGGGACAAACUUUCAUCCUAGAAAACCGGAGUGUCAGCAGUGAGCUAGGGAGAGCAGUGGGCUGUUACAUGACACCACUGUUCAAAGUGUCAGGUCACAUGUAGCACUUUAUGAGUUCCCCCUUUCCUGACUGAAACAAACUAUUUUAAUACAUUUCUAAAAAACCAAAAAAUACAAAAUACUCUUUUAAUACAACAUGCAUAUAUGUUUACUAUGACUAAAUAUAUUAUGCCUCUUCCUGUCAAACAGCAUCCAAUGUGGUGAAAUGAAAAACAAUAAAUCUGGGCUGGGUGUGGUGACUCAUGCCUGUAAUCCCAGCACUUUGGGAGGCUGAGGCGGGUGGAUCACCUGAGGUUGGGAGUUUGAGACCAGCCUGACCAAUGGGGAGAAACCCCGUCUCUACUAAAAAUACAAAAUUAGCUGGGCGUGGUGGCGCAUGCCUGUAAUCCCAGCUACUCGGGAGGUUGAGGCAGGAGAACUGCCUGAACCCGGGAGGUGGAGGUUGCAGGGAGCCAAGAUGGCACCAUUGCACUCCAGCCUGGGCAACAAGAGUGAAACCCCGUCUCAAAAAAAUAAAAACAAAAAUAAAAACAAAAACAGUAAAUAUUAUAUAUCAGCAUUUGUGAUAUUUAUUCCUUCUGUUUAGUUAUUUGCCUCUAGAUUGAAGCAUUCAAAACAGAAAAUUAUAUUCAGAGUAAAAACUCUUAGCUGGAUAAUGGAACCUAUCAUUUUAAGUUUUUCCUAUAUUUCCUAAAAAUACCUAUAUUAGGUAUAUUUUUUCCAAUAUUACUCCUUAUCUUUACCUUAGUUCCCUUUCAUUUUUGAUUGUCAUUGUGCUCUCAGCUACACCUGAAAAUUUCUCUGAUUUUUCCCAAGUUGGGAAAUUAAUCCACUUUAAAUUCCAUUAAAGUUUGAAACUCUUUUUCCAUUGUCUUGUGGUUUUAUUUGUACAUUUUAAUUUACUGUAAUUUUAAAAUGUCUCUUUCUAGUUUUGACAAAUGUCAUACUUUUCC
rnacentral:lncRNA from 1 species